rnacentral:rRNA from 1 species
GAUGAACGCUGGCGGCGUGCCUAACACAUGCAAGUCGAGCGGACAGACGAGGAUUUUGCUCCUCUGACGUUGGCGGCGGGCGGGUGAGUAACACGAAGAUACCUUGCCUUUGGGAAUAGGGUAAGUUAGGGGGACCGAAGCCAGCACCGGAUCAUAUGUUGAAAGGGGGGGUUCAAUAGUGAAAGCGGGUUUUGAUGACCCUGGGCCGUAUUAGCUAGUUGGUGGGGUAACGGCUUACCAAGGCGACGAUCUGUAGCCGGGCUGAGAGGAUGACCAGCCACACUGGAACUGAGACACGGUCCAGACUCCUACGGGAGGCAGCAGUAGGGAAUCUUGGACAAUGGGCGAAAGCCUGACGGAGCAACGCCGCGUGAGUGAAGAAGGUCUUCGGAUCGUAAAACUCUGUUAUUAGGGAAGAACGAAUGUAUAAGUAUCUAUGCACGUCUUGACGGUACCUACAGAGAAAGCAACGGCUAACUACGUG